rnacentral:rRNA from 1 species
UACAGAGGUCUCAAGCGUUGUUCGGAUUCAUUGGGCGUAAAGGGUGCGUAGGUGGCGGGGUAAGUCAGGUGUGAAAUUUCGGAGCUUAACUCCGAAACUGCAUUUGAUACUGCCUUGCUUGAGGACUGGAGAGGAGACUGGAAUUCACGGUGUAGCAGUGAAAUGCGUAGAGAUCGUGAGGAAGACCAGUGGCGAAGGCGGGUCUCUGGGCCAUUACUGACGCUGAGGAGCGAAAGCGUGGGGAGCGAACAGG